rnacentral:lncRNA from 1 species
UGUGACUACCUGGGAAAGAGCCUUCCAGAGGGCAGGAGCAGAUGUGGAGCAUCUCAGGAGCAGUCAGGAGGCCCAUGGAGCUGGCACGGGUUACAGGGUAGCGAAAAUAGAGAUGUAAUGUUUUUCCCAGCCAACCUCGUGACCCACUAAUCUUCCAUCCUUCAAAGGUCCAUGGACCCGAGAUUAAGAACCCCUCAACGAGACCCGAAAGAAGUGAUGCAUAUGGCUCUAUAAAGGCUGAUCAGCAGCGAUGUGCCGUGGUGCCAAGUCUCUCUCAGCCAGGAACCUACUUCCUGCCGACUAGAGGGAGCUGCGGAUGCCCGUCGCCCUGCAGUCCCUCAUGCAGGAGAGAGGAAGAUGCCAAAGGGCCGUGGAAACGGCAGCAAAGGAGGGCUACAGAUCCGGGAAUCCAGCCAGUACCCUGCUUAUCCCAGGGCCCCACUUUCUACCACCUGGGAAGGGACGAUGACCUUCAGUUUGCCUCCACAAUCCCAGCACACUCAUGGCCAUGACCCAUUCAUCACACAGGUGACAUACAGGCCGAGCACUUCACUUCCUGCAGGUUUACAGCAAGAACAGAAUCCCAUGAGAUAAUGUAAGGGGGAAAGGCGUCCUGGCCUGAAUGUCUCCUCCCCUCAGCCAUAGGGAUUGGCUCUGGGAGAGACACGUGAGCCAAGCACGGCCAAUCAGAGUGGGCCCUGGACAUUUUGCUGCAAUUUCUGACGGAAACAGAUGGGUGGUAAGGCAGGGGGACUGCUGAGGACUUCUUUGCCACCUGAGGGUGAGCAGAGGUGGGGCAGGAGGAAGGGGCCGAGAAUUAAGUUAAACCUGAGAAAGGCAGAGUCUGGAAAUAAAGAGGGGUAAAUUCCUGAUGAGAA